rnacentral:sRNA from 1 species
CUGGCGCUACGUACAUCUUUGGGAAAAGCGGUGGGCUUAUCCUCUACACCUGGCCAGCCAAUGACAGGCCCAGCACGCGGUCUGACCGCCUUGCCGUGGGCUUCAGCACCACUGUGAAGGAUGGCAUCUUGGUCCGCAUCGACAGUGCUCCAGGACUUGGUGACUUCCUCCAGCUUCACAUAGAACAGGGGAAGAUUGGAGUUGUCUUCAACAUUGGCACAGUUGACAUCUCCAUCAAAGAGGAGAGAACCCCUGUAAAUGACGGCAAAUACCAUGUGGUACGCUUCACCAGGAACGGCGGCAACGCCACCCUGCAGGUGGACAACUGGCCGGUGAAUGAACAUUAUCCUACAGCAAACCCCACGGAGCCGGGAAUCAGACGGGUUCCGGGGGCCUCAGAGGUGAUCCGGGAGUCGAGCAGCACAACAGGGAUGGUCGUCGGCAUUGUGGCUGCUGCCGCCCUCUGCAUCUUGAUCCUCCUGUACGCCAUGUACAAGUACAGGAACAGGGACGAGGGGUCCUAUCAAGUGGACGAGACGCGGAACUACAUCAGCAACUCCGCCCAGAGCAACGGCACGCUCAUGAAGGAGAAGCAGCAGAGCUCGAAGAGCGGCCACAAGAAACAGAAAAACAAGGACAGGGAGUAUUACG